rnacentral:tRNA from 3 species
GUCUCUGUAGCUCAGGGGAUAGAGCAUUCGCCUCCUAAGCGAAGGGUCGGACGUUCGAAUCGUCUCAGGGACG